rnacentral:rRNA from 1 species
AAUAGAUACCCGGGUAGUCCACGCCGUAAACGGUGGGCACUAGAUGUGGGGCUCUUUCCAUGAGUUCCGCGUCGCAGCUAACGCAUUAAGUGCCCCGCCUGGGGAGUACGGCCGCAAGGCUAAAACUCAAAGGAAUUGACGGGGGCCCGCACAAGCGGCGGAGCAUGCGGAUUAAUUCGAUGCAACGCGAAGAACCUUACCAAGGCUUGACAUAUACGGUCUAUCCCUAGAGAUAGGGAGUGCUUCGGCGCCGUAUACAGGUGGUGCAUGGUUGUCGUCAGCUCGUGUCGUGAGAUGUUGGGUUAAGUCCCGCAACGAGCGCAACCCUCGUCCUAUGUUGCCAGCGGGUAAUGCCGGGGACUCAUGGGAGACUGCCGGGGUCAACUCGGAGGAAGGUGGGGAUGAGGUCAAAUCAUCAUGCCCCUUAUGUCUUGGGCUUCACGCAUGCUACAAUGGCCGGUACAAAGGGCUGCAAUACCGCAAGGUGGAGCGAAUCCCAAAAAAGCCGGUCUCAGUUCGGAUUGAGGU